rnacentral:tRNA from 1 species
CGGUGGUUUGUAAUUCCAUUUAUGGAGUGUGAGCUCCUCUUAUCA